GAAAAGCCUCCCCAAUUUUAUUUCCCCUACUAUCUUCUUCUUUGAUUUUUAAAUUUGCUAAAGCACCAAAGUCUAUACUCCUGUAUAUCCCACAAUAAUGGCCCAGCCCGAAACCCUAGAUUCUCCGCUAUCAGCAUCUUCUUCGUCAGAUCCACAACUGUCGCGGAACUUGUCAUCCAGUCGACUCAACGCUCAGGCGCCUGAGUUUGUGCCUACUCGCUCUACGCCUCAGCAGCAGCAGCAGCAGCAACAGCAACAGCAACAGCAGCAGCAGCAGCAGCAGCAGCAGCAAAGUCAUAGGAUGAUGAUCCCUCCUCCUCCGCCCCCUGCGAUGCUGCACGUCUACCCUCCUCCUCCGCCUCCGCCGGCGGCGUUUCACCUCCCCGUCCAUAGCCCAGUGCCUAUGCCGCCUCACAUGGUCCCCGUGCCCCAUCAUAUGCCCAUGCGGAAUCAUCACCACCAUCAUCAUCAUCCUCCGUUUCAGAAUCAUCCUCAUCAUCAUCGAGAGCAAGAAGUUGAGGCUGUUGU
rnacentral:lncRNA from 1 species